CCUGUCUCAACACUCACAACUAUCAAGUAGAAUAUCUAUACAAAAUGAGUUCUGAAUCUUUGUCAUCAUGCAUUGAUUUUAAAUAUAGCUAUAAAUGUCAUCAAUAAUUCAUAGAAGUUCCAUUCACGAGUUUUGGUUUUCUGUCCUGCAGCAUGCAUCUAGUUGAAGAUGACAACUUUACAACCUACAAUUAUAAUUGUCUUGUUUUGUGUGUUCGAUCCUGAAAUUAUCUCGUGCUUUAUUGGUCUGCAUUCAAACCGACGACUUGUUUUCAAUUUAAUCGUCUUGUUUUUGGGCACACAUUUCGCAUUUCCAUUGUAAUAUCGUAACUUAAUUUCGCCAUUGGCAAUUCUAGCUUUCAUUAUCAUUGAUUUAUCUGUUACGUGACACAUAUCAAAAGAACCGUUCUGUUGAUAGCGCUUUGGCAGUUCAAGGUUUCUGU